rnacentral:rRNA from 1 species
AUUGAACGCUGGCGGCAGGCCUAACACAUGCAAGUCGAACGAGUGGCGGACGGGUGAGUAAUGUCUGGGAAACUGCCUGAUGGAGGGGGAUAACUACUGUAAACGGUAGCUAAUACCGCAUACCAUCAGAUGUGCCCAGAUGGGAUUAGCUUGUUGGUGGGGUUACGGCUCACCAAGGCGACGAUCCCUAGCUGGUCUGAGAGGAUGAACAGCCACACUGGAACUGAGAAAAGGUGCAGACUCCUACGGGAGGCAGCAGGGGGGAAAAUUGCACAAUGGGCGCAAGCCGGAUGCAGCCAUGCCGCGUGGAUGAAGAAGGCCUUCGGGGUGGAAAGUACUUUCAGCGGGGAGGCGUUACCCGCAGAAGAAGCACCGGCUAACUCCGUGCCAGCAGCCGCGGGAAAAC